AAAUGUGUCUCCUGCCAGAUCUCCGACGGCACAUUCACCCUCAGACCGCGUGUGGGAGCGGCGAGGUACAGGCCAAGUGUGACGAGAGACAACUGCCGCUAUUUGAAUAUUUCAUGGAAAUGUGUUCUUCCUUUUUGUUCUUUUCAGUGAGCCCUCCCACAUACAUCAUUCCUCGUUUAGGGUUGCUUAUUAAUGGCACAAAGGUUAAGUAUAUACACGAACACACAACCACGGACAAAUUGAAUCACUUUGUGAAAUUGUUGAGUGGAACAAAUUCCACAUAUCAAUUCCAAAGAUUCAUUUUGUUGGUGAAGUUUGAUCGACGUCCACAUCUUCUUUUUAGGAUUUCUGAAGAGCAGUUUAGAAAUGAGGAUUCAAUUAGUCAGCGAGAUGACACACAUUCACACAGACACACACAUGACACACAACAGCAGAACACUUCGAUUUUUAAGCAAAAAACACAUCAAACUAUACAAUAAUUCAUAAAAACCAUCAAUUGAAUUUAAUACACCUUUUAACAUUUCUCCUUUUUCAGAGAGAAGGAUUUGUCCAAAACUAAUGUAGUGUGCACGUGCAGUGUGUUUCAAAAAAGCUAUACUUGAGCUGAGGUUUUGCGCUCAGUGUCAGUUUCAAUAACUGUGCUUUUUGUGUCAUUUUAGCAUUAAAAAAAAUACAUGUGUAUAACUCUCAAUGACUCGUAUACAUUUUAAUCAACAUCCCAGUUUUAGUUUGUUUUGUUUACCCUGAAAAUAACUCCUCAGCCUCAGGAAGCCGUUCUCUGGUUCUUGUGUGUAAUUGGUUUCAAGGGAACCCUGCAAAAUGUUCCGCAUUUUCAAUUUCAAUUUUCUUCAAGUGAGGCAUAAUUUUACCCAGAAGCUACCAGGGGAAAGGAAGAAUGGCGAAAAGGCUACAGCCAGUACGUGUGUGUGUGUGUGUCUAAGGGGGUUGUUUCUUAUUUAACGCAAACAAUUGAAAUUAUCCAUUAUUUUUCCCUUGCUGCGAAUGGACGAAAAUUACCAUUUCGCAUUUACAGUUAUAAUUCAAUAUUUUUCUCAAAUAGUAUCGGACAUUAGGGCGGUAUCGAUUGGGAGCCAGAACCGGACCAUUCUUUCCAAACGGGUCAGUGUCCUCCUCACUCGGGUUGCCAGUGCGAGGCGAGAAGUCAGGGACACAAAUUAUUUUGCCAUUUCGCCCCAAAAGAAAAGAAGAAACCACGCUGAAGGGAAGAGCUUAAAGAGAGGUCACCUAAACUUGCCCCGCUACCCUCCAACGUUCCCGAUUCAUUGGCAGGAGAAUGGCCGUGGUGGGGGGCUGAGCGGCUCUGCACAUUACAGCCGAGUCUCCGCAGCCGGAGCCAAGCAAGCCUGUAAUUUCUGCCAUUUGAGAGUGUGAGCUGAAAAGCAGAGUGAUGGCCACUUUUCAGUUAUUAUUCCUUCGACAGAGUGCUGGCUGAAGGAAACAACCGUGCUUUAAGGACAUGUCCAUCAGCCUCUGGCAGUAUUUGGAGAUGGUAUUUGUAAGAGUAACUCUGUCAUGUUGUGUGGGUAACUUUGAAAAGCCAUUGGGUCCCACGCGCUGCAGUAUAUAACAUCUCAGGCCGCGUCUGUCCGCCUCGCCCUCCCGCCUAAUGCGGCCGUAGCCGGUCGUAGCCGGUCGUAGCCGGCCGUAGCCGACGGUAGCCGGUGGUAGCCGUAGCCGGCCGCAGCCGGCCGUAACCGGUCGUAGCUGGUCGUAGCCGGUCGUAGCCCCCGCUGCGCCUGAAGUGUCUCACGGCGAAACACAACACAACUGUUUCCGCGCUCACAUGCCCGACAAACACCAGGUUGCUAAAAGCAGCAGUGUUCUCUGCUGGGUGCACAUUUGCAUCUGAUUAAUGCUUUUUAGUAAAAGAAACUCGCCGUAUUAACCUUGAAGGCCAAGCCGCCUGUGGGGCCUCACACCAAGUGGGAGCUUCCUGUUCUCACGGCCGAGUAGCGGGUAUUUCCGACAGCUACAGUAUCUCCCACUUGGCUACGAGAAAAACAAGAAACUGCUAGAAAGAUGGCUGCAAAGUCACGACCGCUGGCAGUUGCAUCUACAUAAAAACCCAAUAUCAAAUCAGUGCGGUUUGAACCUGAGGAUUUUUUUGUUGUUUAUUUUUUUAUAUAUAACAUUCUAAACAGUAUGUAAUAUAAUAUUUUUUAUCCUCUGCACUGUAAAGGAGACAUAUCAGGCUCUUUGUUAAGACUCAUACUUGUAUUUAGCGUUUCCACCUUGACAUGUUCACAUGCUUUGAUGUUAAAAAAGCACAUCAUCUUUUUGUAUUGUUUGUGUGAAUAUCCCUGUUUUCACCUCCACUCUGAAACGGUCCGUUUUAGUGGCUGUCUCUUUAAGCUCCCAUUACAGGAAUCAUAAAAAAAAAGACAAAGUUGCUGCAUGCCAGACAGCCACAUUAACGUGCUAAUGUUACCAUUGACGUGGAACAUGUCCCAUUUAACAUUAAAAGGAAACGGGAGAAACUGGUUUCAUCGGCCUCCGUGUUUUUUUCUUCCUGGGAAAUCACAAUUCCGCGCGCUGAGCCACGUUAGCGCCGGACUCUAGGAAAGCAAACAAACUUGUGAAGUCAAGAGAGCACACACAGAAGCUCCUGGUCAUUUACCAUCUUAUUACCAAUACGUGAGUAUCCUCAAAACAACAUGGCCGUCCAUGGCCAUGGAAUGAACCAAACGCAUCCACAAGUAACGGUGUGAGCUAGGAACGUAGAAUUAAAUAUUAAGAAAGACCACUUGUGGAGGGCAAGACAAAUGCAAGACUUUUAACCAGGAGAAGUGUUGCAAAGGAGACAUUCGGAAUUAUAGUCGUAGUCAUAAAAGCACAAGAUCAAACGUGGUUAAAACAGCGGUCGCCAGCUUCCUCACCUUUUGCGCCCAUUUUCUGAACAAACCCAGAAGUGUAAAUCUUCACCCUCACACCGAUUAAAAUCAAUUCUUGAAAUUACUAUCACAUCACCAGCUCGCACAGCUCGCCCCUUUCAAGAUGACUUGCCAAGUUUCCGGUUCCAACCAUGCUGUUGAAUAAAGAAAUGCAAUACAAGUUGAUGUUUGUGUCGAAAGCAACAGCCUCUGCAUGUCAUUAUUGUAAUAGCGCUCGCUGUUAAGGCGUACAAUGGUUUGCAGACAUAAAACGAAAGGGAAGGUGUGAUUGCACUAGAGCUUAUUCAAUAACGACCAUAAGCGGCAGACAACAAAAUCGGACUAAAAAUGUAAAUGUUGUAUUUGGGCUCUUUUUUUUUGGUCGUGAGUUUUAAGACCUCCUGUUGAGCUGCAGCUGCACGUCGCUUCCCUCCCCCUCCUUUUUUUUUUUGCAUCGUCUCCCUUUCCCUCUAUCUCUCCGGUCUGUUUUCAGACCUGCCUCCGUGUUCGCAGGUAAAUGAGUGCUUAGUGAGUAUUAACUAAGAUCACUGGUUGUUAUCUGAUCAGAGAGGGUCACAUGGAACAAAGACCUCAGCCACCUGCACUGCCCAAUACAAAUGAGCCUGAAAGCCCUGUGUGCGUGCGUGCAUGUGUGUGCCUAAUUGUGUGUGUGUACCUGCGUUUGUGCAUGUGAGCAAAUGCUCAUGUAAGUAUGUUUAUCUAUGCAGAACUGUUUGUGUGUGUGUGUGUGUGUGUGUGUGUCUCCGGGGCCAAAGGGGUCGACAGAUGCUCCUUCUCAGUGAACACAAUGAAUUACUUAUAGGCCGUUAAGCCAAACAUGGCUGCGCCGGCCGCUGGUUUACCCAACACUGAUAGGGCCAUCUGCCGAGGUGGCUCUACCUUCCCCACCGCUCUUUACAGACACGUAACCAGACGCUUGUCCGCCAGGGUGGGGCCCCGCUGACGAUUGAAAACAUCAGGACUUCUCCAAUCGUCCGUGUGGAUUUGUACACGUGUGUUGCCGUGUGUCCACGCUUGUAAAAAGACAAUGAGAGGGGGCAGUGUGUGGGCAGAUUUAGGGUUACGUUUGGGAGGAAGGAGCAAGGUUAAACGGCAGUGACUCAAAAUAUAAAUUGACUCGCGAUUGUGUGGAUCCACUGGUUUUUAUCCUUCUCAGAUUAUCCACUUUAGGAGGGAAAAAAAGGCAGCAACCUCCACCCACGCACACGCAGAGCGACUGGAGGAUGAAAUACAGAGAAGCCACAUCCGAGAGGUCGGUGUGACAUGGACUAUUUUCGACACGUACUUAUAAUAAAGGGGUAUUGGUCAGGUUUUAGAUACCUUUGAUUGCAAUGUUGUACCAGCAGGUACUCACAACGUUAAAAAAAGGCCGUUUGAAAAUGCAAGAACAAAAGAGGACAGGAGCUCGGAAGCUUAACGGGGUUUCAGAGCUGGCAGAUGCGGCCCGAGAAAGGGAGGUAGCUCCAACUCAGGGAAGUCCAAUGUUUAUUUUCUUUUAGCUGGGUUUCUGUCUCUAGCAAAUAUUCGUCUCUUUAAUGCUCCUCGAUGCUGCCCAGAUAUAGUUGCUAACCUCCUUUGUGUGGUUUGAGAAAUCUGUCUAUACCAGUUGUUGUUGUUUAAAUGAAAUAGCUCGUCCCCAGUUAGGAACAAGACAUCUUUUCUACACACCUGUCGUUUAAGUCAUUGACCAUUUUUCUCUUAAAAGUGACAUUAUAUUUGAAAAUUGUCAAUUCUAUUUUUUUGUUGUUUUGGCUAAAAUCCCAAAGUUACUAUAUUUCACUCAAAAUGUAAUUGAGAGAAUAAAAUUAAAAAUAUACAGUACCACUCAAAAGUUAGGACACCGUUUCUGAUUGAAUUGACUGAGAAAAAGUAUGAAUAUUUCAAAGGUGUUUUUUCUUGGCUAGCAGUAACGUUUUCGGAGGAAGUCUACAGUCAGUUUGAUCUAAAUAUUCUACCUUCAGAGGGUGACUUAAGAUCCUAUUUGAGUGUGAAUGUUGAGAUGCACAAUCUGUGUGGUUUACACGACCACACACUCAACUCAACAUUCAAACUCAAUUAUGUGUGUGGUCAUGUGUAGCUGUUGAUGUGUAUCACACGUACCUGAUGUGUGGUGUGUGUGUAUGAGUGUGUGUUUGUGUUAAACUGUGCCUUCAUUUUCAAAUUUCUGAAUGUAUUUAUAGCAGUCUUUCAAAAUGACAAGAGGAUAAUGUAAUGCCCGUUUUUUGCCAGUUCAACUUUCAUAGAUGUGUUUAAUGUUGCAAUAUUACAUUCAAUGUGCCAUUUGUUCCACAUUGUAAAAAGGAUAUUCAUAUUUCUAAUGCCUUUCAUAUUUAUAGGGACUCCACGUGCAGCUUAAGGGCCGAACCUUUUAUUUUUAAUCAAGAUGAAAUUGAUAACGGUAUAUCAACCAGAUAGUACAGUCAUCUAACAAAGUGAUGGCAUAAAGGUGAAGUCGACCAGAGGAAGGACAGCAGAAGAAGACGAGCUAUUACUAACAGCUCUGCAGCGGGUUUGUAUCUGAGAACACUGGAUAAAUAUAUUUCAUGUUGCCUGAGCACUGCACUGUUUGUCAACAUUGAAUGUAACAGCAGGUUGUGCAAAACAUCUGAAAAAAAUCCAAUCACACUAAACUGAAACAUUAUCCCGAUUUCCCCAUGGGAGACCAUUGAGCUAUUAUUUCAUUGAACAAAUGUCACAUCAUUCCUGAGUGUGUUUUGGGUUUGUACUGGAAGCAACAAUCGUAUUUUUUGGUUUGUGUCAAUGUUUGAGGGAAUGCUUUUACAUUCAUUUCUACAGUUGGCAUUUGAGAGUUUGCUUAAAAUACAUCCAUGAUGAGUGAGAGUUAGUCUUUUAUUGUCUGAUCUGAAUAUGAGUCUUGUAGCGUAAUUGGUUGUGCAGGUAUUAAUUUCCAUUAUGAUUGAAAUUCUUUCUUUUACAAAGACAAAACUGUUUAAAAUGUCUUGGAAAUACACUCAAUACAUUUCCCAGACUGAAAGCAGGCAGAAACAAGUAAAGCUGAUUCAUGUCCAAAUGUAAGAAAUAGUCCCUACCAGCACGUUAAAUUAAUUUAGUGAAUGCUACGGCAUGUUAAUGAUGGCCGCUCUGCACUGUGCUCAAACAGAGGUCACAUGAUCCCAGCUCCCCCCCCCCCCCCCAGGUACACACUGCUGGCUCUGUCAGCAAUUCUGUCGCUGUUUGCACUGUUAGUACGGUCACCACCGUUAGCCUCCAGCCGCCGAGACCAUCUCACACCGUUUUGUGAGAGCUCAGCCAUUAAAAGGCAAUAACCUAAUGUUCCUCAUAAUGAGCACAUUUGACCCGGGGAGGACCAUCUCCUUUAGCAGCCUCACCGGUACAAAGAGUAAAUAGUAAGGAAACAAACCAUGUCUGAGCUGUGGAUUAGUGUGCUCCUAAAGGUGUUUCUUUAGGCUAAGCUAUAAAGAAACAGAGACAGUCUUCCUCAACACCCCCACUGUUCACUAUCGUCA
ensembl:lncRNA